rnacentral:rRNA from 1 species
CCUACUGGAGGCAGCAGUGGGGGAUAUUGCACAAUGGGGGAAACCCUGAUGCAGCGACGCCGAGUGAGUGAAGAAGUAUUUCGGUAUGUAAAGCUCUAGCAGCAGGGAAGAAAAUGACAGUACCUGACCAAGAAGCCCCGGCUAAAUACGGGCCAGCAGCCGCGGUAAUACGUUGGGGGAAAGCGUUAUCCGGAUUUACGGGGUGGAAAGGGCGCGUAGACGGUUAUGUAAGUCUGGAGGGAAAGCCCGGGGCCCAACCCCGGGACUGCUUUGGAAACUGGGUAACUGGAGUACAGGAGGGGCAGGCGUAAUUCCUGGUGUAGCGGUGAAAUGCGUCGAUAUCAGGAGGAACACCGGCGGCGAAGGCGGCCUGCUGGACUGAAACUGACGUUGAGGCUCGAAAGCGUGGGGAGCAAACAGGAUUAGAUACCCCUGUAGUC